rnacentral:lncRNA from 1 species
UAGUGUGAGGGGUGUGAUGGUGAGGCAGGCAUAAGGUGGAGAUAGAGCACUCACUGCAGCCUAGUGUGGGAUGGAGGCCAAGGAAGGUGCCCCAGAAAGGGGGAUUUCUAAGUGUGAUGAGAGAGGGUUCUUGGGAGAGACCUCAUAGACAGACAGCUUCCUUAGCUCCGUUGAUGGCGAGGAGAGUUUGCCCUGAACUAAUGUGUCCUUUAAGAGGUGAUGUUGCUAGUGUGUUGCCUCCUUUCCACUUUCCAUGAUGUGAGGACCAACAACAAUUGCUGGAAGAUUCAUUUACAAUAAAUGACAGAACAGUUGGACAAUCUGCAACUUGCUGAUUGCAAAAAAUGUAUCACAAUGUUUGGAAUGGUGCAGUGGCAGCUAGGGGAGCUCUGGGGAAAUG